rnacentral:rRNA from 1 species
UACGAAGGGGGCUAGCGUUGUUCGGAAUUACUGGGCGUAAAGCGCGCGUAGGCGGACUGGCAAGUUGGGGUGAAAUGCCGAGGCUCAACCUCGGAACUGCCUUCGAUACUGCCAGUCUUGAGGUCGGGAGAGGUGAGUGGAACUCCGAGUGUAGAGGUGAAAUUCGUAGAUAUUCGGAAGAACACCAGUGGCGAAGGCGGCUCACUGGCCCGAUUCUGACGCUGAGGCGCGAAAGCGUGGGGAGCAAACAGG